rnacentral:tRNA from 1 species
GUCAGUUGAUGGGCUCAGUUCCUACCAAGUUACACCUUAUUACAGAUUGAUAAUUUCGGAGGCAGGGUGG